GGGGUGGCGGAGUUUAAACAAGUGGAGCUUUUAGAGUAGGUAGCUAGUCUUUUGAAACCUGAUUAUGUGAAGGGGGGGUGGGGUUUUGAAAUGACACUGUAAAGACAGUAUAUUUAUGAAACAGAAGAAUAGCACUUCAUGGUCCCAUUAUCAUCUGUCCUUUAUCAGGUUAGGUGUAGCCUACGAUAUGUCAACUCCUGACUAAAGUCUUGUGUUUUUCAAGUUGGAUUUGGCACAGAUUAAAGAAGGAAGGAAGGAAGGAAGGAAGGAAGGAAGGAAGGAAGGAAGGAAGGAAGGAAGGAAGGAAGGAAGGAAGGAAAAAAGGACAUGCAUUCAGUGAUGUCACUUGAUAUACCUCCUUCAGUGUCCAAUCAGAGUCCAAUUGGAGCAACACAAGGAUUCCGAUUGGUUGGAUAUUUUUUGCAUGCCAGUGUACGUACAUUGUAAAAGAUUGUUGCUGGAGCGGGCAGUUGUUUACGAAAGUGGAAUGUACGCAGGACAGAUUCCAAUGUUUAGAUAUGACAUAUUUGCCCUUGAGAGAAGCCGUCCUUUUCUCAGAAAGAGGUGUGCACUUAAGGUUGGUUUUAGUCGCUGCAACCGCUCUCGUAGUGUUUUUUUUUGCUAAAGCUCUUUUCAGAAUAACUUUUUCCUUCUUUAAAGUUAAAAAAAAGAAGAAACAAUUGUGAGUGUGUGAGUGCCUGUAUGUGUUGCUGCUUGAUGGUGUGAAAUGCUUUUAGUUUCCUCUUGUCGGGCCUGUGAAGCCUGUGCCCUCCAACCAUACUGUAGCCUGAGCUGCGUUUGCAACACAGAACUAUCAGUGCUCUUUUUAACGUUUUUGGAACACUGACACUGGUGUAAUAGUGCAAGGCCGAAGCGUUGCGGUUCUGAAUGCACCCUUCAAUGCUUUCUAUAGGAAGAAUUAUAUCACCCACUCUCUGCCUCACAGACAAGAGACUACAUGUCCCAGACAUCCUCAGCCCAGACACUACGUUACGCAGACACCCUCAGCCCAGACACGACGUUACCCAGACACCCUCAGCCCAGACACUACGUUACCCAGACACCCUCAGCCCAGACACGACGUUACCCAGACACCCUCAGCCCAGACACUACGUUACCCAGACACCCUCAGCCCAGACACGACGUUACCCAGACACCCUCAGCCCAGACACUACGUUACCCAGACACCCUCAGCCCAGACACUACGUUACGCAGACACCCUCAGCCCAGACACGACGUUACCCAGACACCCUCAGCCCAGACACUACGUUACCCAGACACCCUCAGCCCAGACACUACGUUACCCAGACACCCUCAGCCCAGACACUACGUUACCCAGACAUCCUCAGGGAAUUAAGAUAACACUGCUCUCACUCUAUUCAGGUACUUUCUCUAGAUUCUGAGGCCUAGCAGUGAUCUGUAGUUAUUUGUAGUUAUUAUGAUUAUUUCAUUUUUUUUUUAUAUUACUUUUGUAUUAUUAUUCACUGUAAAAAGAAAAUGUCAAGUGUCCUGAAAACUUACUUUAAUUUUAUUUUCUAUUUUGUUUUCUCCCUUGGUCCCUCAAAGAAAAAAAUGUAAUUCUAUUUUAUAAAAUGUAGAUUAAGAUUCCACAUCUAAUGAAUGUCUAUCUACUUCUCAGCUCAGGUGGAGAGGGUCCUCAAAGCACGUAAACUGCCCUCUCUACGCACCGUGCCUCAGACUCUGUGGCUUAUAUACUGGGGACCACAUGGUGGCUACUUAACACUGCCGUAGGCUACGUAACACAGUCAUAAGCAUGACAUAACAGGUCCUAGAUACUUAUGACGAGCUACUGUACCUUUAUAAGCUGACAUGACACUUUGACUGCCACCUCAUUCGAGGUGUAAACUUCUAUCCCUCUCUGACAAACACAACACCUCUGAACACAACAGUGUGAGUACUGCCUUCUGGCUCACCUGCCAAUCAAUCAAACGUCAGCGUUAGCGCUGUAAUCUUCUCAGAACAUCAACAAAUCACCUCACAGAACCGUCUGACCUGAACAAAAAGCACCUCUGGAACUUCUAAAACCGCAGUCAUCAAGUUGAGGGAGAAACUAUCAUCCACAGCCAGCCAAGUCAACUGAAAAGUCAGUUUAUUCGCAGUUCCUUUGAAGUUUUGUGACAAAAAUGAAAAAUGUAUAUAUCAGUUGGCUUGUUUUGUUUGCAGCUUUUUGUGCUUGUUUUGUUCAAAGUGCUGCUGAGUGGUUGAUGAUGGAUGACUAACUGGCUUGCUGUUGUGUGGGACUUCAGCAAAUGUUCUGCUAUUCUGGUAAGCCUACGUACAUCUUUUGUUGCGUGCCUACCUGGCGAUACGUUUUCAAAAUGACCUUCUGACUUUGGUUUUUAAUUCUUCGUAUUUUGCGUUUGAACUUGGCAAUCCUUCUUUAUAUAUUCUGAAUGUUUGGUGUGGUGCUGGCGUCGGUGCUGGUGUGGUCUGGUGCUGGUUUGUGAUGCCAGCGAUGGAGAUAUCAGUUUGGUCGGUGUUCUUAAAAAGGUUUUUAAACGCUGGGUGUCUGACUUCUCUAGAUAGCCCUACUGCAGGUAUGAUCCGAGACUGGUUCAUUCUUAACGAAUGAAAUACUUCUACUUACUUACUUGGUGACUUUUCCUAGCUAAGGCUUUGCUAACUUACUAGCUAACUCUACUUUCUAACAAGUGAACCGAUGCCCUCUAUUCGGGGCCUGGCGUUUCCUCUGUAUUUCCGAGAGAGAUUUCUGGGUUUGUUGAUAUACCUCAUGCUAUCCAGAUGGAGUAGAUAGGGGGCGCUGUUGUUGUGGAAAGCAAUGUCUCGCCCCCUGUUAUAGAACAGUUCCUUAUAGCUCGUUUUUAUACUCGGGUUCUUUCUGGGAGUCCAACCCUGUACCUCACACCCGGAAGGCUUUCUCUCUCUUUCUCCAUAGAAACUGGAUUGGACCUCAUUUUUUUCAAUAUCUACUACUGUUUACAGUUUGGGCAGAACAUUGUAUAAUUUAAAUAUUUUUCUCUUACUGUCGUUUUUGUUUAUGUACAUUUAUCCAAAACUUUUUGUACUGUGUGAGUUGGAGUUUUUAUUCUAGGCUUGUAUGAUUGAUCGAUGUCCGUUUUUAAUUGAGCACUUAAAAGAGGAUCACAUUAAUUAUGUUUGAUUGAUUUGUUGAUUGAAUGAUAGGUUGAUUGAAUACACUAUCUGUUUUUGUUUUCCCCAUUUUUUUUAAUGCAAAAUCAGAUUUUACUAAAUGGGCUAAUGAAAUAAUAAAAAAUCUGUCAUCUAAUGUGAUAAAAAAAUAAAAAAAUCUGUGGUCUGUUAUUUGUUUUUUUAUUUUGCAUUGAACUUCGGGCUGAUUAGAUCCGUCUUUGUGCAUGUGUUAAACAAAUAUUUUACUGGUUAUGUUAUUAUUGACAUUUGGAAUAAAUGCCAUUUUGGCAACACAUUUCAGCUGUACCGUUCUGUAAGGUGGUAUGAUGCUAGAGCUUCUUUUCAAAACCACUAUUCUUCUAAUAAAUUUUGUUGUGAAAAUAA
ensembl:lncRNA